rnacentral:tRNA from 1 species
AAGACUUGUGAAAUUCUACUUCACAUCUAAUGAAUGCAACUCAAACACUUUAAUUAAGCUAAAGCCUC